rnacentral:rRNA from 1 species
UACGAAGGGGGCUAGCGUUGUUCGGAAUCACUGGGCGUAAAGGGCGCGUAGGCGGCUUUAUAAGUCGGGGGUGAAAGCCUGUGGCUCAACCACAGAAUUGCCUUCGAUACUGUAGAGCUUGAGACCGGAAGAGGUAAGUGGAACUGCGAGUGUAGAGGUGAAAUUCGUAGAUAUUCGCAAGAACACCGGUGGCGAAGGCGGCGAGCUGGUCCGUAUCUGACGCUGAGGCGCGACAGCGUGGGGAGCAAACAGG